CAGCCGCCGCGGUAAUGCGAAGGGGGCUAGCGUUGCUCGGAAUGACUGGGCGUAAAGGGCGCGUAGGCGGCGAUCAAAGUCAGGCGUGAAAUUCCUGGGCUCAACCUGGGGGCUGCGCUUGAUACUUGGUUGCUUGAGUGGGGAAGAGGGUCGUGGAAUUCCCAGUGUAGAGGUGAAAUUCGUAGAUAUUGGGAAGAACACCGGUGGCGAAGGCGGCGACCUGGUCCUUGACUGACGCUGAGGCGCGAAAGCGUGGGGAGCAAACAGGAUUAGAGACCCCUGUAGUCCCUGUCUCUUAUAC
rnacentral:rRNA from 1 species